AGUGCAGCAGAGAGGACCCGUCGCCGGCCUUGUGCGAGGCCAUCGCCCAGAUGCUGAAGGAGCCGGGGAGAGCCAGCGGGGCGGAGGGGACAUGGCAGGAUGGUGCCGUCGCGGUGCUGGUGGACCUGCAGCGAGAGCAGCAGGAGGAGCUCAGCCGCACCCUGGAGAGUCUGUCUGGGAUCCCGAGUGACAGGGAGGGAGCCGCUUGCCCUGCCCUCUUUGAGAAACUCCUCGCCCGGCCGCAGGAAUCACCCCUGACGUCUCUGGUCCGGGAUUUGCGGCCUGUCUCUCCCCAGGAGCAGCAGCGCUCCCUCUGCCAACGGGGAACUGUGCAGACAGAGCGGGAGUUGCGCCUCGCCCAGGAACCGUCCCCAUCUGAAGGAGAAGCACUUAUUGCAGAUGAGAUACCUCAGAGAGAAGGCGAGCCUUUGCGGAGGAAACCGGAGACUUCUCAACACGAGAAGCAAAAAGGAUUUCAAGAUUCAGAGGCCCCUCAGGGCUCCGUAGCUCCUGGAGGCAACCGGAACCUCCCUCAGGACAAAGAGAUUCAGGCUGAACAAGGCCUUCUGCUCCAGGAGUUGAGUCCUGAUACCUUAGAGCCACAGGUUGCGCUGCUGAGGAAAUCAAAAUCCCUGGGGUCUCUGGAGUUCCUGUUGAGCCAGGAUUCGCUGCCCCAAGGAUUGUGGGAUGUGGAAAUCCCUCAGCAAGCACCACAUGGAGGACUGGGGAUGCCCCACCUCCCAGGAGCGCAGGGUAGGGAGAUGGAAGCCGUAGAUGCCCAGACCCAUGGUGACCUCCAGUAUAUUCCACAGAGGGAAACAGAAGCCCUUCAAGAAAACGAAAGGAGGGAAACUUCAGAUCUGGAACCUCAGCGGGAGCCCCUUGCGUCUGGAAACCAGAAGUCCCACACAGUGAGAGGAGUCAAAUAGCCUUUCACACCCAGGGCACACAGUUCCCCGAACCCCCAGAAUGGAGAGAGUCAGAGGCUACUCCACCGUGGGAGGUCCUUCAGACCCACAAAGAUGUCCACAAGGAGUCCCUGGAUCCAGACACGAGACAUGUCAAGAUUCCGUGCCAGCAGGACCUGAGGUUUCCAGAGCUGUCCCAACUCCAGAGGUUUCUCCGGAAGAAAUCAAAAUCUCUUGAACCCCAGCUUUUAUCCAGGGCAAGGACAUGGGGGUCACCACAGAUUCAGCAGGAGGUAUGUCGACCUCAGAAAUGUGGAUAUCCUCAAGCUGUUCAGCCCCAGGAAUGGGAAGUUGAGGGAACUUCACAGGCAGAGAAGGAAGGUCUGAGGAGCCAUGAUUUGAGGGUGGGUCCGCAGCGGCAAAAGUUCCCAGAAAGCCGUGAUGCACUCGUUCAGGUCCCAGAGCCGUUGGGUCUUGAGUCUGAGGAGAUGGCAAAGUUACAGGGUGUGAGGCAUCUGGAAGGCCUUCACAUCCCAGGAGGACCUCAAGGAAGGUCCCAUGGUUGCCUGCAGCAGGAACAGGAGCUGACCCAAGCUGAGGAGAAGACGGAGGGCUUGGAAACCCCACAAGGCCAGCAAGGACCAGAACUUCCCCAUCCUGAAACCCCUCCUCACUGCAGGAAUCUGUGGAGGAAGUCAAAGUCUCUUGAGCUGAGGAGGUCGUGGGCUUUUCAACCCCAGGAACUGAGGGAGCCGCACAUCGCUGGCACCCAGCCCCUGCACCCACAAAUGGGUGCAGGAGCUGUUCAAGCUCAAGAUUGCCAGGAACCAGAGGACUUUGAGGCGAAGAAAGCAAAGAAGGAACAACAGAGCCAUCAGGAAUUUUCUCAGGAGGCCUUUCAAGAGCAAGGGAUGGUCCAGAAAGGGGUGAGGGUUACUAGGCCUCAAAAUGUGAACGAAGCACAGGACUUUUCAUCUGAGGGUGCAAAGGGUGCCAUACUUCCACAAAGGCAGACACAGGUUCCUCAGUCCCCAGAGUGCCGAAGUCUAGAAUCUCCGCCUCUUCUGUGGAGAACUAUGUGGCAGAAGGCAAAAUCGUUUGAGAUGAGGAAAAAAGAUGUCUUUCUGAGUCCAGGGCCGCGACCAGAGGCUCCAAAGCUGAGCAUCCUUUAUCGUCAGAAGAUGAAGGAAACCUUGGUGGGACAAUCAGAUGUUCUCACCCAAGGACAGAGACAAGAAAUGUCUCAAGAAAUGAGGGAGGGGAAACCCGUCUAGCUGAAAAAUCUCCACAGAGAAGUCAACAAAUACUUCAAAGCAAGGAAAUUUCCAAGAGGGAGCUGGGAUGGCCCAGACACUCAGGAGAAUCACAGCCCUGUGACACGAAGAGUUUGGAAGAUGCACAGACUCCAG
ensembl:lncRNA